CAGGAUGAACGCUGGCGGCGUGCCUAAUACAUGCAAGUCGAGCGAACAGACGAGGAGCUUGCUCCUUUGACGUUAGCGGCGGACGGGUGAGUAACACGUAGGUAACCUACCUAUAAGACUGGGAUAACUUCGGGAAACCGGAGCUAAUACCGGAUAAUAUUUCGAACCGCAUGGUUCGAUAGUGAAAGAUGGCUUUGCUAUCACUUAUAGAUGGACCUGCGCCGUAUUAGCUAGUUGGUAAGGUAACGGCUUACCAAGGCAACGAUACGUAGCCGACCUGAGAGGGUGAUCGGCCACACUGGAACUGAGACACGGUCCAGACUCCUACGGGAGGCAGCAGUAGGGAAUCUUCCGCAAUGGGCGAAAGCCUGACGGAGCAACGCCGCGUGAGUGAUGAAGGUCUUCGGAUCGUAAAACUCUGUUAUUAGGGAAGAACAAACGUGUAAGUAACUGUGCACGUCUUGACGGUACCUAAUCAGAAAGCCACGGCUAACUACGUGCCAGCAGCCGCGGUAAUACGUAGGUGGCAAGCGUUAUCCGGAAUUAUUGGGCGUAAAGCGCGCGUAGGCGGUUUUUUAAGUCUGAUGUGAAAGCCCACGGCUCAACCGUGGAGGGUCAUUGGAAACUGGAAAACUUGAGUGCAGAAGAGGAAAGUGGAAUUCCAUGUGUAGCGGUGAAAUGCGCAGAGAUAUGGAGGAACACCAGUGGCGAAGGCGACUUUCUGGUCUGUAACUGACGCUGAUGUGCGAAAGCGUGGGGAUCAAACAGGAUUAGAUACCCUGGUAGUCCACGCCGUAAACGAUGAGUGCUAAGUGUUAGGGGGUUUCCGCCCCUUAGUGCUGCAGCUAACGCAUUAAGCACUCCGCCUGGGGAGUACGACCGCAAGGUUGAAACUCAAAGGAAUUGACGGGGACCCG
rnacentral:rRNA from 1 species